UUUCCCUUGAAAAUGUGAGGUGAAAAGUUCCUCCAAAACACUGGUAAUCCCCAGCAAGAAUAAAUGGCAUCACAAUUCAGAAAACCAUAAUUAACAAUGGGGAUAACAAUUACUCUAAUUUUGGAUCCCCAACCUUACAGCCACUGGGUUUUUAGACACAAUCUAUUGCUCUAUUUCUUAUGAAUUAGCUUUUAUAAUCACUGUAAGACAAGCAUUAGAAGGAAAAAUCACAAAUCUGCCACAAAAAAUAACCAAGAAAGAAUAAGUAUGGACUUUCUAAAUAUACACAAUAACAAUUCUACGCACACAUGAAAACAUUUUGAAACAUACCCACUCUUCAUUUGAAUUUCAGGGUAUGUUUUUGUUCCCUGUUAAUUUAUUAAAUGCAACUACCAGACAUGGUAGAAUGAUUAUGAACGGUUCUUUAAAACAAAUGUAGAAUAAAAAGAUUAAAGCCUAUUUUUAAAACUCAUUCUGGCAUUUGUAAGGAUGAUCAGGAGAAAGUUCCAUUAAAAUAGAGUCAAGAAACAAUUUCCUGCACAAAUCACAUUCUCCAUUAUCCAUUUAAACUUGCUAGGUUUCAGGUUCAAACUACAUGACAUACACAGUUCUUCAUUUCAAGAGAAAAUCACAGACUAUUUUAUCCAGUAUAAGAAGAAGAAGAAGUAAAGAAGAUCAAACCUAACCUAACAAUGAACUCUUUAUUUCAAAGUGGCUAUGUAAACUUAGGUUGGGGAUCUCUCUCAUACACAAGCAAAAAUAUUAAAAAUGUUACUUUUCAAAUUCUCAUAGCAAUGAGUAUGAAGCAUGACUUACCAUCUGUGGGCAGCAGUUACCACCACCACUCUCAGGAUAUGCUCCCCUACAACCCAAGGCUGUGAAAGCCAUUUGAACUUAUUUCUGCUAGUACAGGUUCAAAUUCCAGGCUUACAAUACAGAGGAAUUAAAAUGUAUUUUAUAUUAAGAUAAUAAUAAGAUAUGUUUGUGCUUGAGAACAAAAUUAUCUCCUGUGCAAGAUUAUGUGGAACAUGGACGUAACGGAGAAAUUAAAAAUAUGGGCCAGAAAGCACUACUUAUUGAACAAAUACCCAAAUAAUCAAGAUGGGAACAAGUAUGAAAUUCAGACUUCCUUCUCUAAUGUAUCUGAUUUGUCAAUACAUAUAUAAAUAACGUUUUUAACAUAUUUUUUUCAUUUUAAAUCUGCUUUAUCACUAUGUUUCAUUGAUAAUAUUGUAAUCACAUAAAAGUAACUUUUUCAGUAGCCAUUUCAGAGAAGUCAUUUAAAAAUUAUUUUAAAGGCACACAUGAUAUUAAAUUAUAGGCCUAGAAUGUGUGCAAAACUUUAAUUCUCGAAAUAAAAAUACUAUUUACUUUUGCUGAAAUAGAUAAUGUUCAUAUGAGUGUUCUGCCAUGCUCAUAUAAUGCCUGUUUUUGUUAAAUUUGAUUGUGAUAAAUAUACAAAUAACAAAGUAUAACCAACAUCAAUAAACUAUUAAAUAAACACAUGUUGAAUAAGUUCCCUUGUUUACACAUUAUUUAAAUAUUAUGUAUUUCUCUAAAGGGGUUUUGAUAAAUAAUGUAAAUAUAGCAAGUAACUGACAAAGAUAGUUUCCUGAUGUUCUAACAGCAAGGGGUUAGCAAUAUUAUCAGGAAAAACAGAUUUUAUGUAUUGAAAUACACCAUAAUAAUGAUCUAGAGGAAAAAUGUAGAUUUCUAUAUAUAUUCAUCUAUUAACCUGAAAGACACAUAUCAGUACCAAGGUAAAAAUAAACCUGUUCAGGGCAGCCAAGAAUCAGAAAGUCAGAUAUACAGAAAAAUAGCUAUACAGACAGACAAAGACAACCUCACAGCCCAUCAGUCUGAACUGCUCUGUUGGUCUGGUCCACACAUGUGUGUUCAGUGUGUUUGAGAGAUUGCAGAAACAAACAAAUAAAUAAAUUUGUAUCUGAUAUUAAAUCAGGCUUAAAACUUUCUUCAUUGCUUUCAAAAUUGCUUUUUAUUUUUCCCUUUAAGUCUCUGUCA